rnacentral:rRNA from 1 species
UACGGAGGGUGCAAGCGUUAUCCGGAUUCACUGGGUUUAAAGGGUGCGUAGGCGGGUAUGUAAGUCAGCGGUGAAAUCCCCGAGCUUAACUUGGGAACUGCCGUUGAUACUAUAUAUCUUGAAUGUCGUGGAGGUUAGCGGAAUAUGUCAUGUAGCGGUGAAAUGCUUAGAUAUGACAUAGAACACCUAUUGCGAAGGCAGCUAACUACGCGAAUAUUGACGCUGAGGCACGAAAGCGUGGGGAGCAAACAGG